rnacentral:tRNA from 2 species
GGCAACGUAGCUCAGGGGUAGAGCGGACGCUUCAUAAGCGUUAGGUCGGUGGUUCGAACCCACCCGUUGCCACCA